rnacentral:rRNA from 1 species
AUGAAGGCAGCAUUAAAAACUAUCCUCCCACAAACUCUGCAUAAGCUGUGUCGGUGGCAUAUCAUGAAGAAGUACAAAGACCACCUCGCCUUGCUGUAUAAGGCGCAUGAGAAACUCAAGGAUGAACUCAAUGCGGUGCUGAACCACCCACUAAUGCCGUCAGAAUUUGAACAAGCAUGGAAGAACCUCAUUCAAAGGUAGAACUUGCAAGACGACAAAGUGAUGAAUUCACUAUGGGAUGACAGGCACGAGUGGAUCUCGGCUUACUACAAGGAAAUUUUCUGUGCUCGGAUGACUUCCACACAGAGAAGCGAGAGCAUGAACCGCAUACUGAAGAAAAUUUUUGUCAAGGAGAAGCAUGAUCUCCAUCUGUUUGCUCAGCAGGUGGAUAAGUGCAUUCAGACCAGGAAGGCCGUCGAGCACGCAGAGACAGUAGCAAAUGAGUCCAAGGUAAAAACAACAACCAAGUUUGGGUUCGAAGUUCAGCUAUCAAAAGUGUAUACAAGGGCAGUGUUUGCAGAUUUCAAAGAAACACUCUACCGUAGCACUGCAUUCAGAGCAGAACGGUGCCCUGAGAACCCGACAAAGUAUCUCGUACACCACUACAACAGUCAGGCAUUUGACUGGGCAAGGCAUAAUUUCCAAGUGGUCGCCGAUGAAGAGAAAGGUGUCUAUGAAUGUGAGUGCAAACUCUGGACACACACAGGGCUCUUUUGCGUCCAUGUGUUAUGCAUGCUUUCUCAUUUGAGAGUACUCAAGAUUCCUGAGGUGUACAUCAUGAAAAGAUACACCCGUAAUGCAAGAUCAGAUGCAAUGUUUGAUAGAAGAGACUACGAACAAACAGCACCAGAUGGAACCUCACUUUUUUGCCGUAGAAAAUUGCUGACAGAAACAGCAAUGGACCUUGCAAACAGAGCGAUAAGGUCGGACGUUGGGUGCCACAGAGUGUUGUCUGGUAUGAGGGCACUGAUCGAGGAAGUUGACGUGCUCAACGAAGAAGAAGAAGAAGAAGCAAAACUAAAGCAAGCAGAGAAAUCCUAG